rnacentral:rRNA from 1 species
CCUACGGGAGGCAGCAGUGAGGAAUAUUGGUCAAUGGGCGCGAGCCUGAACCAGCCAAGUCGCGUGAGGGAAGACGGUCCUCUGGAUUGUAAACCUCUUUUGUCGGGGAGCAAAAGACGCCACGCGUGGCGUUCCGAGAGUACCCGAAGAAAAAGCAUCGGCUAACUCCGUGCCAGCAGCCGCGGUAAUAGGGGGGAUGCGAGCGUUAUCCGGAUUUAUUGGGUUUAAAGGGUGCGCAGGCGGAAGAUCAAGUCAGCGGUAAAAUUGAGAGGCUCAACCUCUUCGAGCCGUUGAAACUGGUUUUCUGGAGUGUGCGAGAAGUAUGCGGAAUGCGUGGUGUAGCGGUGAAAUGCAUAGAUAUCACGCAGAACUCCGAUUGCGAAGGCAGCAUACCGGCGCUCAACUGACGCUGAUGCACGAAAGUGUGGGUAUCGAACAGGAUUAGAUACCCGUGUAGUC